rnacentral:miRNA from 1 species
CACAUAACCAUGGAGGUGGUUG